UCCUACGGGGCGCAGCAGUAGGGGAUAUUGCACAAUGGGCGAAAGCCUGAUGCAGCGACGCCGCGUGAGGGAAGACGGUCUUCGGAUUGUAAACCUCUGUCUUUGGGGAAGAAAUCAGACGGUACCCAAAGAGGAAGCUCCGGCUAACUACGUGCCAGCAGCCGCGGAAAUACGUAGGGAGCGAGCGUUGUCCGGAAUUACUGGGUGUAAAGGGAGCGUAGGCGGGCUUGUAAGUUGAAUGUCUAAUCCACCGGCUCAACCGGCGAUCUCGUUGAAAACUGCCGGUCUUGAGUGAAGUAAAGGCG
rnacentral:rRNA from 1 species